rnacentral:rRNA from 1 species
GUAGGGUGCAAGCGUUGUCCGGAAUUAUUGGGCGUAAAGAGCUCGUAGGCGGGUCGUCGCGUCGGCUGGGAAAACCCGGAGCUCAACUCCGGGCCUGCAGUCGAUACGGGCGGACUUGAGUGUUGCAGGGGAGACUGGAAUUCCUGGUGUAGCGGUGAAAUGCGCAGAUAUCAGGAGGAACACCAAUGGCGAAGGCAGCUCGCUGGGACGGUACUGACGCUGAGGCGCGAAAGCGUGGGGAGCAAACAGG